AUUGAACGCUGGCGGCAUGCUUUACACAUGCAAGUCGAACGGUAACAGGCCUUCGGGUGCUGACGAGUGGCGAACGGGUGAGUAAUGCAUCGGAACGUACCCAGAGGUGGGGGAUAACGCAGCGAAAGCUGUGCUAAUACCGCAUGUGAUCUGGGGAUGAAAGCGGGGGACCGAGCAGCAAUGUUUGGCCUCGCGCCUUUGGAGCGGCCGAUGUCGGAUUAGCUAGUUGGUGGGGUAAAGGCCUACCAAGGCGACGAUCCGUAGCUGGUCUGAGAGGACGACCAGCCACACUGGGACUGAGACACGGCCCAGACUCCUACGGGAGGCAGCAGUGGGGAAUUUUGGACAAUGGGCGCAAGCCUGAUCCAGCAAUGCCGCGUGCGGGAAGAAGGCCUUCGGGUUGUAAACCGCUUUUGGCAGGAACGAAACGGUGUCCGCUAAUACCGGGCGCUAAUGACGGUACUUGCAGAAUAAGCACCGGCUAACUACGUG
rnacentral:rRNA from 1 species